GGAAAAGCAAAUGUAGGUAUAAGUAACGAUAAAGGGGGCGGGAAACCCCCUCGCCGAAAGACUAAGGUUUCCUGAUCAACGCUAAUCGGAUCAGGGUUAGUCGGGUCCUAAGGCGGAGGCGAAGGCACAAGUCGAUGGACAACUGGUUAAUAUUCCAGUACUAGCGUAACCCAGUGAUGCGGUGACGGAGAAGUGAAAGGCCCGCCUGGUGACGGAAUACCAGGUUGAA
rnacentral:rRNA from 1 species